AGAAGAUUGAAGUAAAAUCUUUGGAGAUUCAGAAGAAGAUUGAAGUAAAAUCUUUGGAGAUUCAGAAGAAGAUUGAAGUAGAAU